GACGAACGCUGGCGGCGUGCUUAACACAUGCAAGUCGAACGGAAAGGCCCUGCUUUUGUGGGGUGCUCGAGUGGCGAACGGGUGAGUAACACGUGAGCAACCUGCCCUUGACUUUGGGAUAACUUCAGGAAACUGGGGCUAAUACCGGAUAGGAGCUCCUGCUGCAUGGUGGGGGUUGGAAAGUUUCGGCGGUUGGGGAUGGACUCGCGGCUUAUCAGCUUGUUGGUGGGGUAGUGGCUUACCAAGGCUUUGACGGGUAGCCGGCCUGAGAGGGUGACCGGCCACAUUGGGACUGAGAUAUGGCCCAGACUCCUACGGGAGGCAGCAGUGGGGAAUAUUGCACAAUGGGCGGAAGCCUGAUGCAGCAACGCCGCGUGCGGGAUGACAGCCUUCGGGUUGUAAACCGCUUUCGCCUGUGACGAAGCGUGAGUGACGGUAAUGGGUAAAGAAGCACCGGCUAACUACGUG
rnacentral:rRNA from 1 species